AACGAACGCUGGCGGCAGGCCUAACACAUGCAAGUCGAGCGAGAUCUUCGGGUCUAGCGGCGGACGGGUGAGUAACGCGUGGGAAUAUACCUCUUGGUACGGAAUAGCCUCGGGAAACUGGGAGUAAUACCGUAUGUGCCCUUUGGGGGAAAGAUUUAUCGCCAAGAGAUUAGCCCGCGUUGGAUUAGGUAGUUGGUGGGGUAAUGGCCUACCAAGCCGACGAUCCAUAGCUGGUUUGAGAGGAUGAUCAGCCACACUGGGACUGAGACACGGCCCAGACUCCUACGGGAGGCAGCAGUGGGGAAUCUUAGACAAUGGGGGCAACCCUGAUCUAGCCAUGCCGCGUGAGUGAUGAAGGCCUUAGGGUUGUAAAGCUCUUUCAGCUGGGAAGAUAAUGACGGUACCAGCAGAAGAAGCCCCGGCUAACUCCGUG
rnacentral:rRNA from 1 species